GCGGCGCCGAGGGGGGCGGGAGGGGCCGGGAGGCUGCGCGGGCGGCGGCCGGGCUCCGAGGCCCGAGCGGCGGGGAGGCCCGCGGGCCGCGCGUGAGAACCGGCGCGGGCGGGCAGACGGGAGCAGGUGGUGCGGCCGGAGGGGGGCGGGGCGGGACGGGGCGGGACGGGAGCGACGGGAGCGGGCGGGGGGGCGCUUGGGCUCGUCCUCGAGCGGGGAGGGCGGGGAUGGACGAGCCGAGUCCUAAGCGUGAAGCCGGAAUCCGUCAAGGUUCCUUCACGCGGCUCAGAGAACUUGAAGAAGUUGUGUGCGUUCUGGUGGCGCUGGGCUCUAAAAUUUUCCUCUAUCCGAAUCCUGUUUUUGUUUUUACGUAUUUUCGAUGCCUGGUGGUAUCUUAUUAGAACUGAACAUUGAUCACUGUAUUUCACGAGGAUUGGGAGAAAAAGAACAAAAGGCGUCUAAAAAGGAACAUCCCAUUUCCGUGAUCCGCUCUACCGAAAUUUUGAGAAAGAAUAUGCUUCAGCAGCCGCACACGUUGAUCUUCAGGGCAGAGCGGGGGCUCUCGGCUGGGGACGGGAAGUCCAGACUCACCGUCAGCCUGGUCUCAGCCCCCAGCCCCGUCCCGCAGUCGUCGAGGCCCACGGUCCGUUUUACUCGCGUCCCCCUGGUGGUCCGCCCGUCGCUCCUGCCACGCUCCGGCUUCCUGGUACAGGCCCCCAGCGCCUUCCACCUGGAGCGCCGUGGUUUUCGGCUCGUUAGGAAAUCUCCGUUGCCUUCAGGAUAAGUCCCGUCUCCCUAGAUCCGCUUCGCAAGGGCCUCCGAAUCCUGUCUCCAGCAGGAUCGUCCACCUGCGGCCGCUCCCCACUCCCCCCCCCCCCCCCCCCCCGAGCUCCAGCCCACCUGAGUGGCUCUCGGUUCUCCAGGGCGACGGUCCUCCCCAGCUUCGGCAACACGCCCCGGCCUCCUCCUUUCGUAAGAGGUGGCUUCCUUCCUUUCCCUCACCUCCUAACCCCGAGUGAAGGGCCGGUGGCGUCCCUCCCAGCAGGGUGCACCCGUCGCCCUGCGCUGCGCUCGCCUGCUGUGCGCCCGGGGUGCUCCAGCCCACACCAGCUCCUCGGAACCGGGCUGCUGCAUCCCGCUCACCAUUGUUCCCAGCUCCCCAGGACGGUCCUUGGCAGUACUGGUCGGACCCUCUAAGAAUUCAGCGACCGGCGUAGGAAAACAAAAAUUAGAGUCGCCUUAGGUAUCUACCGACAGAUUUAUCUUAUGUUGCUGUGUUUUUCAGUUUUGAAUGCUCCUCAUUUAAUCAGAAGUUUCUCUAGAAGAAUAACUUUUUUAAAAAAAUGAUAUAAAUUUUGCUUAGACCAUUCUGAUGUUUUUGUCACAAUUAACCAUAAAUCUUUUUUAGCAGCCAUCGUGUGUGUGGUUUGUGAAGUGAAAUUCUGGAACAGUAGCUCCCUGUUUAACGUUAAGGGGCAGAAAUGUUCAUGUUAAGCCCAGGCUCUGAAACUUUAAAACUGAGCUGAAACUAAAUGCCAAAAAAUGAUAGUGGAAGGAAAGAACAUUAUGGUGGACGUUCUGAUCCUUGAUUGUUAUUAUUAAUUUUUAGGACAGCAAUUAUCAAUAUGUUAGGAAAUUGUCCUGAUACUGACUUAAAAAAAUAUCCUGUACUCUUAAUAUUUUUCUUUUGUUUAAGAGAUGUCAUGGUAACAAAUUGAAAUUAUCAUUUUCCUUGUGCUCCUUCUGAGCUAGCAGUGUUACAUAUGUACAUUUAGAUCUGUAGUAUUUCUAAACACCACCCUGCUACACACUUUCAAUAAAGUUAAACAAGAAUUCUUUGUUGAGAGAUGUAAUAUUUGGAGGGGGGGGUAUAAGGGAAUAAAUCUUAACUACUACAAAUUGUUUCCCUUCAGCCUUACUCUGAAGGAGAUCCUUGUUGGUUUUCUCAUUACUGUACAACUAGCCUGUUGACUCUGUUACACUUUGGUGGAGGGGAGUAUAAUUUAGUAAGAAAUAAAAAUUUUUUUUAAAAAGAGAAAAUUUCUUUAGUAAAAUAGGCAAAAAAUUAAUGAGAUCAUAUAAAAGUGAAACCAAGUAAUGUAUUUAAAGUAUUUGGGGCAGGAAAAAAAAGGCAUCAUAAUUAUUUACUGUUCUGUAGAUAAGUAUUCUCUCAGUAUGUAUCAUAUCUAUUUAUAUAAAGGACAAACUGAAUAAUUAUCAUAAAUAAUAAGGGAAAAGUAAACCCCAAAGGGCUUCUCUUAG
rnacentral:lncRNA from 1 species